CAGUAGCCGCGGGAAUACGUAGGUGGCAAGCGUUGUCCGGAAUUAUUGGGCGUAAAGGGUGCGUAGGCGGCCCCGCAAGUCUCAUGUGAAAUCUUCAGGCUCAACUUGAAGUCUGCAUGGGAAACUGCGGGGCUGGAGUAUGGGAGAGGUGAGUGGAAUUCCUGGUGUAGCGGUGAAAUGCGUAGAUAUCAGGAGGAACACCUGUGGCGAAAGCGGCUCACUGGACCAUAACUGACGCUGAGGCACGAAAGCUAGGGGAGCAAACAGGAUUAGAUACCCCGGUAGUCCCUGUCUCUUAUAC
rnacentral:rRNA from 1 species